GGGGCCGAGCGCGGACCAGCCCUCCCGCAGCCCCACUUCCGGGUCGGCCUCCCAGCCCCUGCCCCCAAACACCGGAAGGGGCGGGUGUCCUCACCCCAGCUUCUUCCCACCGCAGAAUCAGACCAGAGCCCAGAUCUGUCAGCACCCAGGGUUUGGUUCCCGGGACACCUGGCCCCUUCCCUCUGGAAAACGGGGGUUCCACGCUGAGAGGAAGUGGAGAGGGCUACGGAGGGCAGCAGUGCAUGGGGAUCGCCUGGCACAGGCCGGGGCGCAGGGGCUGCCCUUCCUCUUGCUGGGUGAGGAGGGCUGAGGGCAGGGUGGAGAGGGCAGUGCUCAGAAAGAGCGGGCAGAUGGCGUCUUCUCCCAGAGAGGAGACAGGGGAGACAGGAGGGCAGCGGGAAGAAAGCCGGCCUGGGGAGGGCCAGGGCGGAACUGCUAGGCAGACAGCAGCCACACGGGGAAUUCAGUUCCUCUCCCCCGAGACAGGAGAAAGAGGGAGAGACAGGGCGUGGUGCUACAUGCUGGCCAUCCCACGCUUGGAGGCUGAGGCAGGAGGAUCCAGAGUUUGAGUCCACCUGGGCAACUUAGCGAGACCCCGAGUCAAAAAAAGGAAAAACAAAGGCAACCCACUCGGGACCCCUCCUGUCUCUCAGGAGCUAUUCCUGUUCUCCAAUAAACCUUUCCUACUCUGAAAGAGAAAGAAAAGAAAAGAAAAGAAGAAGGAGGGAAGGGAGGAAGGAAGGAAGGAAAGCAAGCAAGCAAGCAAGCAAGCGAGCAGAGGGCUGGGAUGGAGCUCAGUGUGCUCAGUGUGAAGGCCCUGGGUUCAAUCCGUAGCACUCAGGUAGGCGGAGGAUGGGGGAGGGAGAGAGAGCGCACUGUCCACGGCAGGCCGCCUUGUACCCGGUAACACCCGGCAUGACGCAUGGGCUCAGUGCCCCUCUCCCCCCCCGGAAGGGAGGCAGCUGCACACAGCAGGCGCUCAAUAAAUGCAGCACUCAGAACAGGGAGGGAGGAACUGGGAGAGGAUGAGGAAAUCAGCUGCCUGCAUCCAGCAGGUGCUUCACAGUUGCUUGUUUUUUCCCCCAAGAAAGAGCAGAUGGAGCCGACAGGAGAAAUCGGGAUGCGGCAUGGCAGCCGGUGAGGAGGCGCCAGUGCGGGAAGAUGGCCUGGCGCACGGCUGGUGCUGAGUGCCCAUUCCCGUCCCUGGUUGAGAGCGCAAAGGAGCAGGGGCCGUGGGUCAGGGGAGACAGGCGAGGCAGAGCUGCUGGCGUGCGGGGUGCCCAGGGGAUGUGCUGAGGGCUGGGGACAGGCGGGGCACGAGGAGAGCCCCGCGGGUGAAGUGCUCGGCCCCCGGGGGCGCUCAGGGCUGUCCAUUCCCUCCCGGAGAGGAGACCGGAGGCGGGCACUCAGGGGAGGCCCGUUUCAUUGCCAGGAGGGAGGAGGCAGAGCCAAGAGGAGAAAGGACUCACGGUGGGAGGGACAGGAGGCAGCAUUCGGACAUUGUCUGUCACUUUCGGAACUUAAUAGAUGCCCACCUCCUUCUGGGCAGAGCCAGGAGCAGAGGCAGAGCCAGCAGAAGCACAGGAAGGGACCCAUAGCAGGUGACAAGGACAUGCUGUGCCCGCUGGACAGGGCGGGUGGGCGCAGGGCCCACUGUCCCGGCCUGGCACCGCCUGCCCAGAGC
ensembl:lncRNA